AUUGAACGCUGGCGGCAGGCCUAACACAUGCAAGUCGAGCGAGCGGCGGACGGGUGAGUAAUGUCUGGGAAACUGCCUGAUGGAGGGGGAUAACUACUGGAAACGGUAGCUAAUACCGCAUACCAUCAGAUGUGCCCAGAUGGGAUUAGCUAGUAGGUGGGGUAACGGCUCACCUGGGCGACGAUCCCUAGCUGGUCUGAGAGGAUGACCCGCCACACUGAGCCUGUGACACGGUCCAGAGUCCUACGGGGGGCAGCGGUGGGGAAUAGUGCACAAUGGGCGGAAGCCUGAUGCAGCCAUGCCGCGUGUGUGAAGAAGGCCUUCGGGUUGUAAGGCACUUUCAGCGGGGAGGCGUUACCCGCAGAAGAAGCACCGGCUAACUCCGUGCCAGCAGCCGCGGUAAUAC
rnacentral:rRNA from 1 species